rnacentral:rRNA from 1 species
AUGAUCCUCGGAAAUGGUGUUCCUGAUGCCCCAGCCCCUCCACCACCCCUCGACUCAAGGCCUGUGCUAGAUCCUAGGGAUUUCCAGAAUAAAUGGAGCCAACUAGCAUUAUCUGUUUCUCAGGAAUGCUCUUUAACUCCACAAGGGGCAGCUUCUUUGAUGAAUCCCCAAUCGCUCAUUCGUCAUAUGCAAAGCAACUACAUUCAAUGCGUUGCUUCAGGCAGUCAGCCUCCAAACUGCAAGUUCUUCUUUUAUGGUCAGAAACCCGGGGCUGCUGAUUUCUACCUUGUAGAGUGCACUGUGAACACAGCAUCACCGAAGGCCAAGCUCAAAAUUAAGGCCGACGAUGGGGCUACCGCUGAGGCCUUUUGUACUUUAUUUCAGUCAGUAUUGUCUGAAUUUGGGCUUUCUUGA